AGUUUUAAUAGUUUAAGAAAAAAAUAUUGAUUUUGUAAAUCAAAGUUAAAUUACUACUUUUAAAAC
rnacentral:tRNA from 1 species